AGGUCUUUUAGUCCUAUAUAUAUAGACAUGUCAACACCUCUUGUAAGGCACUCUUGAACAUAAUGAAUUGUUAUUCUGUUGAGAGCACUCCAGAGCAAUUCUUCCUUGAAAGUCAAGGCCAGAGAAUCUCAAAGGAUCUCCUUUAGCCACCUUCCAUCUCACACUAUCAUUCUCUCCAUUUUUCCAAAUUCAAUUUCUCACUCCUCCGCCAUUGU
rnacentral:lncRNA from 1 species